rnacentral:misc_RNA from 1 species
UACGUAGUUGGCAAGCGUGGUCCGGAAUUAUUGGGCGUAAAGCGCGCGCAGGUGGGUCGUUAAGUCUGAUGUGAAAGCCCCCGGCUCAACCGGGGAGGGUCAUUGGAAACUGGGGAACUUGAGUGCAGGAGAGGAAAGUGGAAUUCCACGUGUAGCGGUGAAAUGCGUAGAUGUGUGGAGGAACACCAGUGGCGAAGGCGACUCUCUGGUCUGUAACUGACGCUGAGGCGCGAAAGCGUGGGGAGCAAACAGG